rnacentral:lncRNA from 10 species
CAAUGCCACAAAUCAGCGACAUGUGACUCACUCUGGAAUGAGGAUGAUCAAAACCUUCAUGGAACUAUCCACCCCAGCUAUGGAUGCAAGCAUAGGAGUUAUAUGUGUGAGAAGAUUAGAAGAUUGAGAAGAUUAGAAAAAUGAAGAAAAGCAUAAAGAAGAAAAGAAAGCUUGUCUGGUCUCCCACCACCCUGAGUUACAGUGAGGACUUGGUGGGCUGCCUUCUGUAUUUUUGCCUCCCGUGCCCUCCAGAUCCAUGCCCUGUGCUGCUCUGUGCCUGCAGCCUCAUCAGCAGGCCCUGUGCCCUCUUGUAUGACUGGGUUUGGCUACUUGGAAGGCCUGGCAGAAGGAAUGAGAGUAAAGUCAGUGAAAUUGUUCCUCUGCCUCCCUCCCUGCAAGGUCACCUUGUUGCAGAUCACUGCUCCUCUCGAGACUCAGGAGCCUAAUGAGACGCUGUCUCCUGUCGCGCUCUGCUUACUGUCCCUUACCUCCCUCCUUUAGAUGUAAGGACGGAUCCGAUCCAGGAUUCAACAUUACAUUUAAUCAUAAUUUGUCCUUGGGCUUCUCUUGGCCGUGACAGUUUCUCCAACUUUCCUUGUUUUUGAUGACCUUGAUGAUUUUGAGGAGUGAUGGUCAGGUGUCUGGGAAUGUGUCUGAUGACUUUUUCUCAUGAUUAGACUGGGGUUCAAUCCUUGAUUCUUGAUGGGUAUAAUGCAAAAUUCCACACUAGUUUUGUUUUUUUGUUGUUGUUUUACAUACUUGUUUCUUUUUGGAGGAAGAAAGAGAUUCCUGUUCUGUAGUUGUUCUGGGUCAUCCGGUUCCAUUUAAAAAGAAUAAUCUUAACACAGACUCUCCAGCUGUUGUGAGGCAAAAGGGCCCUUGGUCUAUGUUAGCCUCCAUAUUUCAGGAUUGCAGGUUGCAUUCAGCUCCUUCGCGGCCCUAGGCUGGCCCUGUUCAUUCAUCCCUGUUAAAACUGGGCCCUGGCACAGAAAAAUGUAAAAGGAACACUGUUGGGGGCUCGGCACUGUAGGGCUCUGCCCUACCCACUUAUCUGUCAUCUGGUUCUACUUGCUUCCUGGUAAGCAACUCUUCCUCAUGCCUUUGUCUUACCCCACUUAACCCAGAGCGACAGCCUGCAGCAUGCACAUGGCUAGCUGCCUCCCAGCUCUGGACCCUUGAUGCUGUCUCUGUAACCUUUCUUGUUUUUUUCUGCUGUCUUUGCAGAGGCAUCUCCUCAGUUACUCCUGCAUGUGCACAUCUGUAGGAUUGCUACCCGCCACCUUCCUUAGGGGCUGUCCUGGUAAGUGGACCCAGGCACUCAGCAAACCCACCAUCCCAGUCUACAGCACUGUCAGAUGCCUCCUUGUGGUCCAGACUGGGGACACAUCCUUUUUUUCUUCUCAGAGAGAACUCAGAUCAUAAAGAUAUUUACAUAUGGAAGAAGUGCUUGAGAUAUGGUCUUGAGAUUAUAAAAAUACACUCAACCUUUUAAAACCAUAGCAACACAAGAGACAAGAAGGCUGAAAACUAAAGUGCAUUUAAAUAUAGCUGUAGGCUACAGGUUUGGAAAUAUAGUUUUUUAGGAAAACAAUUAGAGGGAAUAGAGUCCUGCCUUCAUUCUCACCUGUAUCACUUAGAGCCCCACCAAGCUCUAAGCCCAAACCCCAAUACAUGUCUGUUGGCUGCAUGAGUGAAUGAACCUACAGAAGAAAUUUCCCAGCUGCCUCCAACAGGUCAUAGCCCAUCCCUUCUCCAUCUCUUUUCCUCCUUUCCUUUGGUCUGGAUAGUCAGAUAACAGGUUUGUGGCUCAUGUUACCUUCUCCACCCUCCUUGUGAUACAUUGAGUUCUUGGCCGCAAUUCUUCAUAUUUUGCUGCAUCCACACCCUUUGCCAUGGAACUUUGCUGAUCCUUUCACAACUUUGGAAGAAUACUUCCCCACCCUUUGACUUUGGGCUUGACCAUGGAAUAUUAGCAGAAGUGACGCACAGAGGGGUUGAAAUGUGCUUGUGGGACUGUGUGUGUCCUCUUCUACCUCUGCCAUUGCCAUGAGAAGAGCAUGCCCCAGCUAGCUUGCUGGUCCUCGGAGGAUGACAAGCAUGUGGAACAGAUCUGGACCAAACUGCAGCCUGGGGCACAACCCUGCUGAUCCAAGCCAAGAUCAGCCAAAUACCCACUGAUCUGUGAUGUGUGAGCAAGUAACAAAUGCUCAGGGGUAUGCUACUGAGGUUUUGGGUUGUUUGGUGCUCAGUAAUAGCUGAUGGAGACACCACUCUACCUUCCAGUCUCUCUUGGAUAUCUAUACAGGCAGAAGUCUUCUGGCAAGAGGAGUCUUCAUGUCAAAUCCUGUCCCCGGAGACCAUUCCUUCCUUAUGAGAGCCUAGUGUGACUCACCACUCCCAGAAAGCAUUAGUGUGUUAGUAGCAACGGUAAUUAGUGUUUACCUGGAGUUUUAUUAGCAGAAGGUCACUGUGACAUACAACUGUCUUAGGCGGUAGAGAGGCCAGGAUUAUUGUGCCCAUUUCGCAAAGAGAAAAUGAAACACUCAGACAAAGUGAGGGAUUCACCAGGGCUGGAUGAGGAGGCAGCUGUCUGAAGGGAGAAUGAGAUAAAGGAGUUCCUUACACCCAGGGGGAAGUCACAUUUGUGUGUGCGUGUUUUCAUUUUUAUAACUUUUUCAUCAUGAAAGGGGAUGUAUGUCAAUCGUAGAAAAAUAGGAAAAUGUAGAAAGCAUUGAAAAAGUCCUAUACUACCUACUAGUGUUUUUAUUUAUUUCUCUUUAUUUUAAUGCAUGUAUAUUUGUUAUAUAUCUUUCAUAAGUUAGAAUUAUGUUGUAUAUAAAAGCACUUUCCCCAUGGCAUUUAACAUUCUUUAAAGACCUAGUUUCUAAUGUGUAGUAUUAUGUUCUAUGGACUAAUUCUAAGUUGUGUUAGCAUUCUCUAUUUUUGUAAAUGUAGCUUGUUUAUGAUUUUUUACUAUUAAAAACAAUGCUUUUGUGGACAUCUUUGUUGGUGUGGGAGAUAAUUUAUGUAUUAAGUGCUUGGCACAUGGUGUACUCCCUUCAGCGUAAUAAAUGGUAGCAGUAUA